rnacentral:rRNA from 1 species
CCUACGGGGGGCAGCAGUGGGGAAUAUUGCACAAUGGGGGAAACCCUGAUGCAGCGACGCCGCGUGAGUGAAGAAGUAAUUCGUUACGUAAAGCUCUAUCAGCAGGGAAGAAACACUGACCUUACGGUCAGCAGACGGUACCUGAGUAAGAAGUCCCGGCUAACUACGUGCCAGCAGCCGCGGUAAUAAGUAGGGGGCAAGCGUUAUCCGGAUUUACUGGGUGUAAAGGGAGCGUAGACGGUGCGCCAAGUCUGGAGUGAAAUGCCGCAGCUUAACUGCGGAACUGCUUUGGAAACUGGCGAACUAGAGUGCGGGAGGGGUAAGCGGAAUUCCUAGUGUAGCGGUGAAAUGCGUAGAUAUUAGGAGGAACACCGGUGGCGAAGGCGGCUUACUGGACCGUAACUGACGUUGAGGCUCGAAAGCGUGGGGAGCAAACAGGAUUAGAUACCCCAGUAGUC